rnacentral:rRNA from 1 species
GAUGAACGCUGGCGGCGUGCCUAAUACAUGCAAGUCGAGCGAACAGACGAGGAGCUUGCUCCUCUGACGUUAGCGGCGGACGGGUGAGUAACACGUGGAUAACCUACCUAUCAUACUGGGAUAACUUCGGGAAACCGGAGCUAAUACCGGAUAAUAUAUUGAACCGCAUGGUUCAAUAGUGAAAGACGGUUUUGCUGUCACUUCUAGAUGGAUCGGGGCUGCAUUAGCUAGUUGGUAAGGUCACGGCUUACCACGGCAACGAUGCGUAGCCGACCUGAGAGGGUGAUCGGCCACACUGGAACUGAGACACGGUCCAGACUCCUACGGGAGGCAGCAGUAGGGAAUCUUCCGCAAUGGGCGAAAGCCUGACGGAGCAACGCCGCGUGAGUGAUGAAGGUCUUCGGAUCGUAAAACUCUGUUAUUAGGGAAGAACAAAUGUGUAAGUAACUAUGCACGGCUUGACGGUACCUAAUCAGAAAGCCACGGCUAACUACGUG